CGAGGGGAGCGUGGGGCCGCGGACCGAUGCCUUCGGGCGUGCGGUUCGAGGAAAGUCCGAGCUCCGCAGGGCAGGGUGCCGGGUAACACCCGGGCGGCGAAAGCCGACGGAAAGUGCCACAGAGAACAGACCGCCGGCAGCCGGGUGCCUGCGUGGCGCCCGGAAGCCGGUAAGGGUGAAACGGUGGGGUAAGAGCCCACCGCCCGCGCGGGUAACCGCCGGGGCACGGUAAACCCCACCCGGAGCAAGGCCAAGCAGGGGAGAGUGGUGGCCCGCCGCGUUGUCAUCCCCGGGUAGGCCGCAGCAGGCGCCGGGUAACCGGCGUCGCAGAUGAAUGGCCCCCUCGAACAGAACUCGGCUUACGGCUCCCCUCCGCGG
rnacentral:RNase_P_RNA from 1 species